rnacentral:rRNA from 1 species
CGUGUCGUGAGAUGUUGGGUUGAGUCCCGCAACGAGCGCAACCCCUACUAUUAGUUGCCACCAGGUUAUGCUGAGCACUCUAAUAGGACUGCCUACGCAAGUAGUGAGGAAGGUGGGGAUGACGUCAAGUCCGCAUGGCCCUUACGCCUAGGGCUACACACGUGCUACAAUGGGUGUUACAAUGGGUUGCCAAACCGCAAGGUGGAGCCAAUCCUUUAAAAGCAUCCUCAGUUCGGAUUGGAGUCUGAAACUCGACUCUAUGAAGUUGGAAUUGCUAGUAAUCGCGGAUCAGCACGCCGCGGUGAAUACGUUCCCGGGCCUU